rnacentral:rRNA from 1 species
AGUGGACGCUGGCGGCAGGCCUAACACAUGCAAGUCGAACGGCAGCACAAGAGAGCUUGCUCUCUGGGUGGCGAGUGGCGGACGGGUGAGGAAUGCAUCGGAAUCUGCUCAUUUGUGGGGGAUAACCUCGGGAAACCGGGACUAAUACCGCAUACGACCUACGGGUGAAAGCAGGGGAUCUUCGGACCUUGCGCAGAUGGAUGAGCCGAUGCCGGAUUAGCUAGUUGGAGGGGUAAAGGCCCACCAAGGCGACGAUCCGUAGCUGGUCUGAGAGGAUGAUCAGCCACACUGGAACUGAGACACGGCCCAGACUCCUACGGGAGGCAGCAGUGGGGAAUAUUGGACAAUGGGCGCAAGCCUGAUCCAGCCAUGCCGCGUGUGUGAAGAAGGCCUUCGGGUUGUAAAGCACUUUUGUUGGGAAAGAAAAGCAGCCGGUUAAUACCCGGUUGUCAUGACGGUACCCAAAGAAUAAGCACCGGCUAACUUCGUG